GCCUGAGUGGCUCAGUUGGUUAGGCAUCUGACUUCAGCUCAGGUCAUGAUCUUGGUAUUUGUGAGUUCGAGCCCCACAUUGGGCU
rnacentral:tRNA from 1 species